AUUGAACGCUGGCGGCAGGCUUAACACAUGCAAGUCGAGCGGAGAGAGGUAGCUUGCUACUGAUCUUAGCGGCGGACGGGUGAGUAAUGCUUAGGAAUCUGCCUAUUAGUGGGGGACAACGUUUCGAAAGGAACGCUAAUACCGCAUACGUCCUACGGGAGAAAGCAGGGGAUCUUCGGACCUUGCGCUAAUAGAUGAGCCUAAGUCGGAUUAGCUAGGUGGUGGGGUAAAGGCCUACCAAGGCGACGAUCUGUAGCGGGUCUGAGAGGACGAUGGGCCACACUGGGACUGAGACACGGCCCAGACUCCUACGGGAGGCAGCAGUGGGGAAUAUUGGACAAUGGGCGGAAGCCUGAUCCAGCCAUGCCGCGUGUGUGAAGAAGGUCUUUGGGUUGUAAAUCACUUUAAGCGAAGAGGAAGAGCUCUAGGUUAAUCCCCUAGAAGCUUGGACGUUACUCGCAGAAUAAGCACCGGCUAACUCUGUGCCAGCAGCCGCCGUAA
rnacentral:rRNA from 1 species